UACAGAGGAUGCAAGCGUUAUCCGGAAUGAUUGGGCGUAAAGCGUCUGUAGGUGGCUUUUCAAGUCCGCCGUCAAAUCCCAGGGCUCAACCCUGGACAGGCGGUGGAAACUACCAAGCUGGAGUACGGUAGGGGCAGAGGGAAUUUCCGGUGGAGCGGUGAAAUGCAUUGAGAUCGGAAAGAACAUCAGUGGCGAAAGCGACUUCUUGGACCAAUACUGACGCUCAAGUGCGAAAGCGUGGGGAGCAAACAGG
rnacentral:rRNA from 1 species